rnacentral:rRNA from 1 species
CGGUAAGGCCCCUUCGGGGGUACACGAGCGGCGAACGGGUGAGUAACACGUGAGCAAUCUACCCAUCACAUCGGGAUAACUCCGGGAAACCGAAGCUAAUACCGAAUACGACCACCUCAGGCAUCUGAUGGUGGUGGAAAGUUCCGGCGGUGAUGGAUGAGCUCGCGGCCUAUCAGCUUGUUGGUGGGGUAACGGCCCACCAAGGCUUCGACGGGUAGCCGGCCUGAGAGGGUGACCGGCCACACUGGGACUGAGACACGGCCCAGACUCCUACGGGAGGCAGCAGUGGGGAAUAUUGGACAAUGGGCGAAACCCUAAUCCAGCAACGCCGCGUGAGGGAUGACGGCCUUCGGGUUGUAAACCUCUUUCAGCAGGGACGAAGCGAAAGUGACGGUACCUGCAGAAGAAGCACCGGCCAACUACGUGCCAGCAGCCGCGGUAAUACGUAGGGUGCGAGCGUUGUCCGGAAUUAUUGGGCGUAAAGGGCUCGCAGGCGGUCUGUCGCGUCGGGAGUGAAAACUCAGGGCUUAACCCUGAGCCUGCUUCCGAUACGGGCAGACUAGAGGUAUGCAGGGGAGAAUGGAAUUCCUGGUGUAGCGGUGAAAUGCGCAGAUAUCAGGAGGAACACCGGUGGCGAAGGCGGUUCUCUGGGCAUUACCUGACGCUGAGGAGCGAAAGUGUGGGGAGCGAACAGGAUUAGAUACCCUGGUAGUCCACACCGUAAACGUUGGGCGCUAGGUGUGGGACUCAUUCCACGAGUUCCGUGCCG